UACGUAGGGUGCAAGCGUUAUCCGGAAUUAUUGGGCGUAAAGAGCUCGUAGGCGGUUUGUCGCGUCUGGUGUGAAAUCCCAUGGCUCAACUGUGGGCUUGCAUCGGGUACGGGCAGACUAGAGUGCUGUAGGGGAGACUGGAAUUCCUGGUGUAGCGGUGGAAUGCGCAGAUAUCAGGAGGAACACCGAUGGCGAAGGCAGGUCUCUGGGCAGUUACUGACGCUGAGGAGCGAAAGCAUGGGGAGCGAACAGG
rnacentral:rRNA from 1 species